UACGUAGGCAGCGAGCGUUGUUCGGAGUUACUGGGCGUAAAGGGUGUGUAGGCGGUUCUCUAAGUUUGGUGUGAAAUCUCCCGGCUCAACCGGGAGGGUGCGCCGAAAACUGGGGGGACUCGAGUGCGGGAUGGGGAGAGUAGAAUUCCUGGUGUAGCGGUGAAAUGCGUAGAUAUCAGGAGGAACACCAAUAGCGAAGGCAGCUCGCUGGGACGUUACUGACACUGAGGCGCGAAAAGCGUGGGGGAGCGAACAGG
rnacentral:rRNA from 1 species